rnacentral:siRNA from 1 species
AAGCGCAACUAAUCCAGAAGGG